rnacentral:rRNA from 1 species
UUAAAUUGAAGAGUUUGAUCAUGGCUCAGAUUGAACGCUGGCGGCAGGCCUAACACAUGCAAGUCGAACGGUAACAGAAAGCAGCUUGCUGCUUUGCUGACGAGUGGCGGACGGGUGAGUAAUGUCUGGGAAACUGCCUGAUGGAGGGGGAUAACUACUGGAAACGGUAGCUAAUAC